AGCCGAAACGGUCAGAAAUGGCCGUCAGCCGGUGACCAACCACCCGGCUCUGACGAUGGCAGGUUAUU
rnacentral:hammerhead_ribozyme from 1 species